CCUACGGGUGGCAGCAGUGGGGGAUAUUGCACAAUGGGGGAAACCCUGAUGCAGCGACGCCGCGUGGGUGAAGAAGCGCCUCGGCGCGUAAAGCCCUGUCAGCAGGGAAGAAAAUGACGGUACCUGAAGAAGAAGCCCCGGCUAACUACGUGCCAGCAGCCGCGGUAAUACGUAGGGGGCAAGCGUUAUCCGGAUUUACUGGGUGUAAAGGGGGCGUAGACGGUCCUGCAAGCCAGAUGUGAAAGCCCGGGGCUCAACCCCGGGACUGCAUUUGGAACUGUAAGGCUAGAGUGUCGGAGAGGCAGGCGGAAUUCCUGGUGUAGCGGUGAAAUGCGUAGAUAUUAGGAGGAACACCAGUGGCGAAGGCGGCCUGCUGGACGAUGACUGACGUUGAGGCUCGAAAGCGUGGGGAGCAAACAGGAUUAGAUACCCUAGUAGUC
rnacentral:rRNA from 1 species